AAGCAGAACUCUGGACCCAGAAACACCUGGCUUCAAUGGUGGAUGUUCAGUUUUCUAGAAUCAGCCUGGUGGGGAGUUUGUCUUCUGAAAAGCUGGGCUUCAGUGAUGAAUGGGGUGUGUCUGUGCUGUUGUAUUUUGGGGGUGGGUGGGCUAUGCUCAUGGCUGAGCUCUUUUUCUCCAGAGAUGCCCACAAUCUUCAUAUUUACACUGCCCCUGAGCCACUUCCACCUCUGCAUGACACCCAUUUGAAGGAAGCUCUCUCCAUCCAUGUAAGGUGAAUCACGGCUGGGUUGUUUAGUGUUCCAAGAGAUCUCCUCAAGCUUUUCCUUCCCUCCCACCUGAUCCUCUCCCUCCUUGGCCAGACACCUGCUGCAGGGAGGUUACCUAAAACCAGGUCUGCCUCUGGAGAAACAGGGCCAGCUGACCCAGGGAGCGUGUCACACUCUAGCCCUGGGGCCCCGAUCUUGCUGACAUGCCCACCAGAUGCUGAGGGCACAGUUGUGUCCUUUCCCUGAGGUGAGUCCAUUUGGCCAGAGCUGUCGAGGCUCCCUGUUUCCAGCCCCAAACCUAUGAGCAUGUUCUGAGUGUCCCACAGUCCUUCAACUGCAGCUCUGAGCCUGGAGUCUCAGGCAGGCAU